rnacentral:rRNA from 1 species
GAUGAACGCUCGCGAUAGGCUUAACACAUGCAAGUCGAGGGGUAACGUGUUGGAAGCUUGCUUCCGAUGACGACGACCGGCGGAUGGGUGCGUAACGCGUAUGCAACUUGCCUCACAGUGGAGAAUAACCCGGAGAAAUCCGGACUAAUACUCCAUACACUCUUAAGUACGCCUGUACAUGAGAGGAAAGAUUUAUCGCUGUGAGAUAGGCAUGCGUCCUAUUAGGUAGUUGGUGAGGUAACGGCUCACCAAGCCGACGAUAGGUAGGGGUGCUGAGAGGCAGAGCCCCCACAUUGGGACUGAGACACGGCCCAAACUCCUACGGGAGGCAGCAGUGAGGAAUAUUGGUCAAUGGAGGAAACUCUGAACCAGCCAAGUCGCGUGAAGGAAGAAUGUCCUAAGGAUUGUAAACUUAUUUAGCGAGCGAGUAAGGACUUCCACGUGAUGGGAGUUUGAAAGUAGCUCGAGAAUAAGUAGCGGCUAACUCCGUG